AUUGAACGCUGGCGGCAUGCCUUACACAUGCAAGUCGAACGGCAGCACGGGAGCAAUCCUGGUGGCGAGUGGCGAACGGGUGAGUAAUAUAUCGGAACGUGCCCAGUAGUGGGGAUAACUGCUCGAAAGAGCAGCUAAUACCGCAUACGAUCUGAGGGUGAAAGGGGGGGAUCGCAAGACCUCUCGCUAUUGGAGCGGACCAUAUCAGAUUAGCUAGUUGGUGGGGUAAAGGCCUACCAAGGCAACGAUCUGUAGUUGGUCUGAGAGGACGACCAGCCACACUGGGACUGAGACACGGCCCAGACUCCUACGGGAGGCAGCAGUGGGGAAUUUUGGACAAUGGGCGCAAGCCUGAUCCAGCAAUGCCGCGUGCAGGAAGAAGGCCUUCGGGUUGUAAACUGCUUUUGUCAGGGAAGAAAUCCUCUAGGUUAAUACCCUUGGGGGGAUGACGGUACCUGAAGAAUAAGCACCGGCUAACUACGUGCCAGCCGCCGCCGUAACAC
rnacentral:rRNA from 1 species